UACCAAUACAAUAUGUUAAAUAUGGAGAGAGAAAUGUAGAGAAUAAUAUAAGAGGGAAUUUUUGUUGGGUAUAUUAUUCCAUCUAGAACAUAUAUAUAUAUAUAAAUGGGAUCAUAUGAGACCACAUCCCUUAUGUGAGAACUCUUUUAUAUGUGAGGACUCAUUAUAACCAUUGGAUCAAUUACAUCCAACGGUCACAAUACAAUCCCGGUUUAAACAAAACCAUUUUAAUUUAAAACAAUUUCUGAGUUUUUUUUUCUCUCCUCCUUCUUCUUUCACGCACAAUUUCUCUCUCCUCGUUCAAUUUCAUCCAGUUUUCUACUCUCUUUCUCUCUGAAUUUUCAUCACAACUUUUUCAAUCUUUAUCAAUUGUUCGUCAAUGUAAGUUUAUUGUUUAUUUUUUUGCUAUUUUUCAAUUAAUUUUAGGUUACAUUCAUUUUUUUAUCUUUGUUUUGAUUUUUGUUUUAUUUGUGCUGAUUUCAUCUCACUAAUUUUAGGUUACUUUGUGUCGAUUAUGUUUUAGUUUGUUUUUUUGUUGAUUUUAGUUUUAUUUUCGUUUUUUUGAGUAAUUAUCAAGUUGAUUAUAGUUUUAUUUUGCCUGAAUUUAGGUUUUAACAUGUAUUCUUGUCUUAGUUGUGUAUUUGCGAAAUUAUGUUGUGGUUUUGUUGCGAUUUUUGCUCGAUUUUGUUGCAAUUAUGUUGCGGGUUUGGUUUGGUUGUGAGUACUGUUAAAGCCAGUAUAAAGCUUCCUUCGAACAUUCAAGGUAAUCCAAACACUUAAACCCCUGUUUUACUUGUGAAUUCUAAUUCGAAAAAUUUGCAACAGAAAUUUGAUGCUGAAGUUAAGAAUUAUACUGAGUUGCACUAAUCGUAGUUGGUUCAGGCAACAUUUUACGGCUAGGUGUACCGAUGAGUUGCUCUAACGGUAGUAUUUACUCAGUUUUUGGAGUUUCAAAUGGAGUAUUACCAGUUUACUACUAGUCUUACUGUGUUUUUAAUAUUAAAAGUUGUAAGGAAUUAUGGAUUAGUGGUAGUUUCAUUUAUAUGUCCUAUAUAUAAUAUCCGUUUUAAUGUAGAAUUAAGAUGUUCAGCCUUACGAACGCUGAGAUUAAUUUACUUUAUGUUUUGCAUGGUUUCAUUGCAUUGAUGAUUGAUAAAAGAUUAUAUUAAGAUGUUCAGCCUUACCAACCCAAUUUCAAAGGAAAGGUGAAUGAAGUAAAAGAGAGAAAUAACUCAAAAAAUAGUGAUCAAGAGGUGAGAUUCAAAGUAUCAAAUUCAUUCACGGAUAAUAGCGGCAAGUUUCCUUGUUCCGAAAAUGUGUCUUUCUAAUCGGUGAUUUGGCAGAGUUCCAAUUAGAGAAUGCUGAUCAGGCAGAGCUUCCUUUUUUCAGAGAUUAUGUUUUUCUGAAGGCAAUAGUUAAUUUAACAUCGUCAGAGGACCUUGAUCUCUAGGAAAAGAGGGAAGAAAGUUCGAGAGGAGAAGAUAAUGGUAAUGGUUCGAAUUAGGCCGCUAAGAUUGAGGGAAAAAGCAAUGUAAGAUUUGAUUGCAUUGGAGUGCCCAGAUGAGGAGACAGUAGUGUUCAAGAAUUCCAAUGAUGAGAGAAGUCUUUUUUCUCCUUCACCUUUGGUAAUUUCAUAGUUUUAUUGAACCAAGGGUAUGAUACAAGUUUUUAUAAAGUGAAGCUUAAUAAAUCAUGGUUGUUUUGUGUAUCAGAUAAAGUUAACUUGUGUGACCGCGAGGGUUUAUGAAGGAGGGGCAAAGGAUGUGACCUUAUCAGCUCUUAUUAGGAUUAAUGGUGAUUAUAUAGAUAUCUUUAUUCUGGUUAAGUUUAGUGGAUGUUGUUUGUUGAUUUAGUUCAAACUUCCUUUCUUGCAGCAACCAUUUUUGCAUAUGGGCAGACUAGUAGUGGUAAAACAUAUACCAUGAGAGGAAUCACUCAAUAUGCAAUUGAGGACAUAUAUCAGUAUAUGCAAAAUCUAAGCUCUAAGUGCUUGUGACUGUUCCUGUUAUAUCUGUGGUAAUUGUUUACAUUAGUUAUGUGGCAUUUGUAUGCUGGAAAUUAUUGUUAAUUUGAAUUUCAUAAUUUCUUUUGAAUUUUAAAAUGACUGUAAUUGGUGAUAUUACAGUAGAGCUUGCAAUUGAGGACAUAUAUCAGUAUAUGACAGA